AUCCUCGUCCGUGGUGAUUUGGCCGGCCGGCUUGCAGCCACGUUAAACAAGUCGCUAAAGGGCCGAGAUGCAGGAAAC
rnacentral:ncRNA from 20 species